UGAUUUACUGCUCUGGGUAACCACACGGGUACACCAAUACCCCCCCACCACCAAUACUGAGCCUUAGCCCCGCCCGCCCGCGCUGACCUCGCAGCGGUAAGUAACGAACACCGGGGAGAGUGUGGACGAAUCGAGCUCAUCCACAGUCUCCAUGCUGAAAACGUGCAGGCGAGGAGACCGCGGAGGACCGCAGUGAACGGGGCUUUGCUGCAGAUCCAGGGAGAGGAGCCUGUUUGCAUUCCACUGCAGGUGCAAGACAAUGGAGGAGAAACUCGAACACCAGGACGAAGAUAUCGCAUUCGGCAACACUGACACUAACGGUAAACGCCCGGCUGAGGACAUGGAUGAAGAGCAUGCCUUCAAGCGUUCUCGCAACGCAGAUGAGAUGGUGGAGCUGCGCGUGCUGCUGCAGAGCAAAAAUGCUGGUGCUGUUAUCGGAAAGGGAGGCAAGAACAUAAAAGCCUUACGCACAGACUACAAUGCCAGUGUAUCAGUCCCAGACAGCAGUGGCCCAGAGCGGAUCCUGAGUGUGAACGCCAGCAUCGACACUAUUGGAGACAUUCUGCUGAAAAUCAUACCAACCCUAGAGGAGUACCAGCAUUACAGUGGGAUUGAUUUUGACUCAGAGCUUCGCCUGCUGAUCCAUCAGAGCUUGGCAGGGGGCAUCAUCGGGGUAAAAGGUGCCAAGAUAAAGGAGCUGAGAGAGAACACCCAGACCACUAUCAAGCUGUUCCAGGAGUGCUGUCCACACUCCACCGACAGAGUCGUCUUGGUUGGAGGAAAGCCAGAACGCGUCAUUGAAUGUAUAAAAGUUAUCCUGGAGCUGGUGUCAGAGGCGCCAAUCAAAGGCCGUGCCCAGCCGUAUGACCCCAAUUUCUAUGACGAGACGUACGACUACGGCGGUUUCACCAUGGUAUUCGAGGAGAGAGGCAGGCGACCCAUCGGUGGCUUCCCCAUCCGUGUGCGCGGGGGCUUCGAGCGCAUGCCCCCUGUCCGUGGAAACAGACCCAUGCCUCCCUCCAGGAGGGACUACGACGACAUCAGCCCCCGCCGCGUUCCCCCACCGCCGCUGAGCAGAGGUGGACGAGGAGGAAGCCGAGCACGUAACCUGCCUCUUCCCCCGCCACCACCGCCAAGAGGAGGGGGAGACAGGUUCUCACAUGGCAGCUAUCACGGCGGCAUGGACGACAGACCAAGUGACAGAAGAGGCCGAGGAGGAGACCGUUAUGACAGCAUGAGUGGAGGUGGAUAUGACAACAAUUCUUCCUGGGAGCACUUUCAGUCUGGUGGUAGAGGCUCGUACAGCGACAUUGGAGGCCCAGUCAUCACAACACAAGUCACCAUCCCAAAAGAUCUGGCUGGCUCCAUCAUCGGUAAGGGCGGCCAGAGGAUCAAGCAGAUCCGCCAUGAGUCUGGGGCGUCCAUCAAGAUUGAUGAACCACUAGAGGGCUCUGAGGACCGCAUCAUCACCAUCACAGGAACACAGGACCAGAUCCAGAACGCCCAGUACCUGCUGCAGAACAGGCAUGUGCUCCUGUGACACCCCCCAAAACAGCUCAUCUCAUUGGAGCAGUGUGGUCUCCUCUGAUGGCCUCUAUGCUUGUCCACCACUGGUCGGAAUGUGAGGCAGUACUCUGGUCGCUUCUUCUAGGAAGAUGGGAUGAGAAGAAGAGUGAAGCCAUGCUGCCAUACUGUUUCCUCCUCCUAUUUAGAGCAGACAUUCCUCUGCUUGGCCUCCUCCCCUUACUAUCGCACACUACGCCAUCUAUCUAUAAAUCGCAAUUUGUUUUUUAUGUUAAAUUUUGAAAAAUCUUAAGCUGUCAAACAGCAAACAUGUUUUUGUGCUGGUGUAAUUAUUUUUAAGGAGAUUGUUGUGCCGUCAUUGGAGUAAAGUCAUCUGUGUGAUAACUUUUAGUGUUGUGAGCCGCCCCGGGGCCCUUAUCUCCCUCAUUUCAGCACAGCAUGCAGAAUGUAAUCUUUUUGAAAGGAACAUUAUGUGAGUUUCGGUUUUGUCCCCCCCCCCUUCCCCAAACGUUUAAGCACACUCUACUCUAAAUGAAGAGGCAUGGUCUCAGAACGGUUAAAGAACCAUUCAAAUACAUUAUUUUGUUUCAGAUAUCAAAUAUCUUUUUUCCACUGUCAAAUAAAGUGCUUUUUUUUUUUUUUUUU